UUAUACGACCGUACCGCAAACCGACACUGGUGCGCGAGAUGAGUAUUCUAAGGCGCUUGAGAGAACUCAGGAGAAGGAACUCGGCAAAUUGACACCGUAACUUCGGAAGAAGGUGUGCCCUAUUAGUGUGUAGUGAACAACGAAGCAUGAAUGGGUUGCAAAAAAUCGGUGGCUGCGACUGUUUAUUAAAAACACAGCACUCUGCAAACACGAAAGUGGACGUAUAGGGUGUGACGCCUGCCCGGUGCUGGAAGAUUAAAUGAUGGGGUGCAAGCUCUUGAUUGAAGUCCCAGUAAACGGCGGCCGUAACGAUAACGGUCCUAAGGUAGCGAAAUUCCUUGUCGGGUAAGUUCCGACCUGCACGAAUGGCGUAACGAUGGCCACACUGUCUCCUCCUGAGACUCAGCGAAGUUGAAAUGUUUGUGAUGAUGCAAUCUCCCCGCGGAAAGACGGAAAGACCCCAUGAACCUUUACUGUAGCUUUGUAUUGGACUUUGAACAGAUCUGUGUAGGAUAGGUGGGAGGCUUUGAAGCAGGGUCGCUAGAUCUUGUGGAGCCAACGUUGAAAUACCACCCUGGUGUGUUUGAGGUUCUAACCUAGGUCCAUUAUCUGGAUCGGGGACAGUGCAUGGUAGGCAGUUUGACUGGGGCGGUCUCCUCCCAAAGCGUAACGGAGGAGUUCGAAGGUACGCUAGUUACGGUCGGACAUCGUGACGAUAGUGCAAUGGCAUAAGCGUGCUUAACUGCGAGACUGACAAGUCGAGCAGAUGCGAAAGCAGGACAUAGUGAUCCGGUGGUUCUGUAUGGAAGGGCCAUCGCUCAACGGAUAAAAGGUACUCUGGGGAUAACAGGCUGAUACCGCCCAAGAGUUCAUAUCGACGGCGGUGUUUGGCACCUCGAUGUCGGCUCAUCUCAUCCUGGGGCUGUAGCCGGUCCCAAGGGUAUGGCUGUUCGCCAUUUAAAGAGGUACGUGAGCUGGGUUUAAAACGUCGUGAGACAGUUUGGUCCCUAUCUUCCGUGGGCGCUGCAGAUUUGAGGAAGCCUGCUCCUAGUACGAGAGGACCGGAGUGGACACACCUCUGGUGUAUCGGUUGUCACGCCAGUGGCAUUGCCGAGUAGCUAAGUGUGGAAGAGAUAACCGCUGAAAGCAUCUAAGCGGGAAACUCGUUUCAAGAUGAGAUCUGCCGGGGCCUUGAGCCCCCUAAAGAGUCGUUCAAGACCAGGACGUUGAUAGGUCAGGUGUGGAAGUGA
rnacentral:rRNA from 1 species